rnacentral:snoRNA from 1 species
CCUGCGCCUCCAGCCACUCCACCUUGGCGGCCCAGUCGGGCGUGGGGCUGCCGGCCGCAGAGGAGAGCACAGCUGCCUUCGUGUCCAGGCCCAGCAGGGAUGUCCCGAAAUGCAGCCAAGCCCGCUGGAGGGUGGGCAGGUCGCAGCCGUAAACC